GCGGUUGUGGCGGAAUAGGCAGACGCGCACGGUUGAGGGCCGUGUCCGUGAGGGUAUGGGUUCAAGUCCCUUCAACCGCACCA
rnacentral:tRNA from 1 species